AAUCUCCUCUGUGCAGGUGCGCCAUGCAGUUUCUUAAAGACACUGGCCUGAAUGGCUAGGUCCAGCAUCUCUCCUGGUUGCCGCCGCCGCCAGGGAGCGGGGGAGAAGGACUGCUCAACCACCCCUCGGCUAUGAUCUCCAUUUCUGAACCGAGGCAAAAGUGUUUCAUUCCAAAGUGAAACUAUUAAUAUACAGUGGACUGCAUGAUAACCACAGAUUCAACAGUUGCUGAGCCUCUUCAUGUCAAAAACAGGCUAUAUCUGCUGGAUGUCUGCCUAUUCUGCAACUCUUUAU